AUAGUGUUCGCUGCCCUCGCGGGUAGCAAGCCUCACCCGUGUAUAUUAUAUCUUUGUUGCUUUGGCACGCCGCCUUCGGGCACUGGCUUCGGCUGGCUCGUGUGUGUCAGAGGCCUUAAAACUCUGAAUGUUAGUGUCGUCUGAGUACUAUUUAAUAGUUAAAACUUUCAACAACGGAUCUCUUGGCUCUCGCAUCGAUGAAGAACGCAGCGAAAUGUGAUAAGUAAUGUGAAUUGCAGAAUUCAGUGAAUCAUCGAAUCUUUGAACGCACCUUGCGCUCCCUGGUAUUCCGGGGAGCAUGUCUGUUUGAGUGUCAUGAACUCUUCAACCCACCAGUUUCUUGUAGACUGAUUGGUGUUUGGAUUUUGAGCGCUGCUGGUCUUCGGAUCUAGCUCGUUCGUAAUAUAUUAGCAUCUCUAAUUCGACUUCGGAUUGACUCAGUGUAAUAGACUAUUCGCUGAGGACACACCUAGUGUGGCCGAACGUUGAUCUCAGUAGAAGCUUCCAACUAUUGUAGUCAAUUUUAGAUUAGACCUCAGAUCAGCAGGAUUACCCGCUGAACUUAA
rnacentral:rRNA from 1 species